GGGGGUGUUUCCAAGUACACAGGCAUGGUGCUCGGGUAUGCGGACACCCGAGGAUAUGCGUGGGAUGGAUAUGCGGGUAUCCCACGGGCAGAGGGGUAGGUGGCAGGGUGGUGACAGCCCUGUCAUCCUUCGUAUUCCCCCACGUUCGAAUAUUCGGUAGGAGUCAUGUAAAGUCUCUAUUUGCUGGCAGACCAGCUAUGGAGAUCUCCCC
rnacentral:lncRNA from 1 species